rnacentral:rRNA from 1 species
GACGAACCGUGCGAACGUUGUUCGGAAUCACUGGGUUUAAAGGGCGCGUAGGCGGGCUGUCAAGUCGGUGGUGAAAUCUUUCGGCUCAACCGGAAAAUCGCCUUCGAUACUGGCGGCCUUGAGGGAGGUAGGGGCAUGCGGAACUUCCGGUGGAGCGGUGAAAUGCGUAGAUAUCGGAAGGAACACCGAUGGCGAAAGCAGCGUGCUGGACCUUUUCUGACGCUGAGGCGCGGAAGCCAGGGGAGCAAACGGGG